GUACAUUCAAGUUGGUAAAGGGAGGGAUGUGGGGCUUAAUCAAAUAUCUCUAUUUGAAGCCAAAAUAGCGAAUGGCAAUGGAGAACAGACCCUGAGUCGGGAUUUAUACAGGCUUGGACAUCGUUUCGAUUAUUUCAGAAUGUUAUCAUGUUAUUUCACUACCAUCGGUUUCUAUUUCAGUACCUUGAUUACAGUUCUCACCGUGUAUGUGUUUCUCUAUGGCCGCCUUUACCUUGUCCUUAGUGGACUUGAGGAAGGACUCAGCAAAGAACCAGCUAUUAAAAACAACAAGCCUCUUCAAGUGGCUCUUGCUUCUCAGUCGUUUGUGCAAAUUGGGUUUUUGAUGGCCCUCCCUAUGAUGAUGGAGAUUGGGUUGGAAAAGGGAUUCCGCACUGCACUCAGUGAAUUUAUACUGAUGCAACUGCAGUUGGCACCUGUAUUCUUCACGUUUUCACUUGGGACUAAGACCCAUUAUUAUGGAAGAACAUUACUCCAUGGAGGUGCAAAGUAUAGGCCUACUGGUCGUGGUUUUGUGGUCUUUCAUGCGAAGUUUGCUGAUAACUAUCGCUUCUACUCCCGUAGCCACUUCGUCAAGGGACUUGAGCUAAUGAUAUUAUUACUCGUGUAUCAAAUUUUUGGUCAAGAAAACAGAGGAGCUGUUGCAUAUAUCUUAAUCACUGUCUCAAUGUGGUUCAUGGUGGGAACCUGGCUCUUUGCUCCCUUCCUCUUCAACCCCUCUGGUUUUGAAU
rnacentral:misc_RNA from 1 species